GUGGGGAAUAUUGGACAAUGGGCGAAAGCUGAUCCAGCCAUGCCGCGUGGGUGAAGAAGGUCUUCGGAUUGUAAAGCACUUUAAGUUGGGAGGAAGGGCAGUAAGGUAAUACCUUGCUGUUUUUACGUUACCGACAGAAUAAGCACCGGCUAACUUCGUGCCAGCAGCCGCGGUAAUACGAAGGGUGCAAGCGUUAAUCCGAAUUACUGGGCGUAAAGCGCGCGUAGGUGGUUUUGUAAGUUGGAGGUGAAAUCCCCGGGCUCAACCUGGGAACUGCCUCCAAAACUGCAUGACUAGAGUACGGUAGAGGGUAGUGGAAUUUCCUGGGUAGCGGUGAAAUGCGUAGAUAUAGGAAGGAACACCAGUGGCGAAGGCGACUACCUGGACUGAUACUGACACUGAGGUGCGAAAGCGUGGAGAGCAAACAGGAUUAGAAACCCGUGUAGUCC
rnacentral:rRNA from 1 species